GGGGAAGGGUCUCAAGAAACCGAUGCCAGCUGUUCAGUGCUCCUGACUGCGGCAGUCGGCACCAGUAACACCGGGCAAGAGACGCUGCAGGUGGACGCGACCAAUGCCGCGCCAUCGGUCCAAGGCUUCGAUAGUGACACGAGCCACGAUGCCAGCUGCGGAAGCACCUUGAGCAGUCGGGGGCCUGAUGCACUGCGGGACUUUUCUCUGCCCGCCGACUCCUCUGACGAAUGUGGAAGGCGUAGAAACGAGAUAGCCGAAGUAACUGCGUCCUCCACGGGUGGCCGAGGUGUCGCCGAUCUCGAAGUUCUUCCGGGUCAUGACGUCACGGGAGUCGAAAGGCCAGUUCUUACGCAAGUAUCAUCACACCCUCUGACCGACGAGCUCGCUGCCAUUCACGAAAGCUGGCAAGUCAUCAAGGAUACAGGAUCCACAGACAGCAGUUUGUCCUCCGAUGUCGAUAGUGACCAACACACGUCCACGACAAGUAUCCGCGGAAGCAG